GAGGAAUCUUCCACAAUGGGGGCAACCCUGAUGGAGCAUCGCCGCGUGCAGGAUGAAGGCCUUCGGGUUGUAAACUGCUUUUAUUUGUGAAGAAUAUGACGGUAACAAAUGAAUAAGGGUCGGCUAACUACGUGCCAGCAGCCGCGGUCAUACGUAGGACCCAAGCGUUAUCCGGAGUGACUGGGCGUAAAGAGUUGCGUAGGUGGUUAUAUAAGUGAAUAGUGAAAGCUGGCGGCUCAACCGUACAGACUAUUAUUCAAACUGUAUAACUCGAGAAUGGUAGAGGUUACUGGAAUUUCUUGUGUAGGAGUGAAAUCCGUAGAUAUAAGUAGGAACACCAAUGGCGUAGGCAGGUAACUGGACCAUUUCUGACACUAAGGCACGAAAGCGUGGGGAGCGAACC
rnacentral:rRNA from 1 species